rnacentral:lncRNA from 1 species
UCCCUCAUGCUCUGUAUACCUCUCUCCUUUUCUUAAGCGUGCCUGUGUUUCUUCUGCAUUUCCCAGUUGGCACUGCCAUAUGAGGGACUUCAGGGAUCUAGAGAGAAGAACUGUGCAUCCUGAGGUCCUCAGAGAAGCCGACGAGUCCUCAAAUGCUUGUGGAUUGACUUAUUUGGGGUAGCAGUGGAUGUUUGAUGAAGCACUUCACAUAUGGCAGAUUCCAGAGUCAUAGUGUGAAGAUCUGCACACCCCGAGAGUCCCAGAGAGCUCCACAGACUGCAGUGCUGUUAAGGGGCUGCUUUUGAAUGAAGGUACUGUAUGUGGAAUCAUGCAAUAGUGGUUAAAUUUUCUUAACAAUUCAGGCACCAG